GAAGAAGGAAGAAAGGAAGAUUGCGUACCUGCGAGGGAGAAAGCGGAUGGAAUGAAGGGGGAACUGAUUUUGCGGAUGGAAUUAAGGGGGGAACUGAUUUUAGGGUUCAGUGGAAGGGAGAAAUUGAAUCAGAAAACUUUUAGAGGAAAAUAUACUUUUAGAAAAAUAAUGGGUUUAGGCAUAUGGGUUUAAGAUAUGGAGGGAAUAAAAUUUUAGGAUUGUUAAUAGAAAACUUACUCUAAAAUUUUUAGAGGGAAAAAUGUAAAAGAAUUAGAAAAUGAAGAAAAAAAAAAUAUUAUUAUUUGAGGAGGUUAUAAACCUCUCUUAAAAGGAAUUAAAACUCCCACAAACAUUGUCAGUUAGAUAAUUUAAAUUAAACAUCUUAAGUUGUGUUAAUUUGAGGGGGUUUUUUAUACCCUCCACAAAAUAACCCCCUCUAAAUAAGAUUUUUUUUGUAGUGUGUUAGUGCAGUCUUUGGGUGUGCAGCUGGAUGGGUUGGUCUGUGAUUUUAGCAUUUUUAAUUAUUCUGGUGUUAAUUUAUAAUCAUUUAGUGAAUUAUUUUAAUAAAAUAUGAAAUUUUUGGCUUUGAGACAUUAUAUGUUUAACGUGUUAAAAGUAAU
rnacentral:lncRNA from 1 species